rnacentral:rRNA from 1 species
ACGAACGCUGGCGGCACGCUUAACACAUGCAAGUCGAACGAGAGAAGAGAAGCUUGCUUUUCUGAUCUAGUGGCGGACGGGUGAGUAACACGUGAGCAAUCUGCCUUUCAGAGGGGGAUACCGAUUGGAAACGAUCGUUAAUACCGCAUAACAUAAUUGAACCGCAUGAUUUGAUUAUCAAAGAUUUAUCGCUGAAAGAUGAGCUCGCGUCUGAUUAGCUAGUUGGUAAGGUAACGGCUUACCAAGGCGACGAUCAGUAGCCGGACUGAGAGGUUGAUCGGCCACAUUGGGACUGAGACACGGCCCAGACUCCUACGGGAGGCAGCAGUGGGGAAUAUUGCACAAUGGAGGAAACUCUGAUGCAGCGAUGCCGCGUGAGGGAAGAAGGUUUUAGGAUUGUAAACCUCUGUCUUCAGGGACGAAAAAAGACGGUACCUGAGGAGGAAGCUCCGGCUAACUACGUGCCAGCAGCCGCGGUAAUACGUAGGGAGCGAGCGUUGUCCGGAAUUACUGGGUGUAAAGGGAGCGUAGGCGGGAUCGCAAGUCAGAUGUGAAAACUAUGGGCUUAACCCAUAAACUGCAUUUGAAACUGUGGUUCUUGAGUGAAGUAGAGGUAAGCGGAAUUCCUAGUGUAGCGGUGAAAUGCGUAGAUAUUAGGAGGAACAUCAGUGGCGAAGGCGGCUUACUGGGCUUUAACUGACGCUGAGGCUCGAAAGCGUGGGGAGCAAACAGGAUUAGAUACCCUGGUAGUCCACGCCGUAAACGAUGAUUACUAGGUGUGGGGGGACUGACCCCUUCCGUGCCGCAGCAAACGCAAUAAGUAAUCCACCUGGGGAGUACGACCGCAAGGUUGAAACUCAAAGGAAUUGACGGGGGCCCGCACAAGCAGUGGAGUAUGUGGAUUAAUUCGAAGCAACGCGAAGAACCUUACCAGGUCUUGACAUCGUAUGCAUAGCUCAGAGAUGAGUGAAAUCUCUUCGGAGACAUAUAGACAGGUGGUGCAUGGUUGUCGUCAGCUCGUGUCGUGAGAUGUUGGGUUAAGUCCCGCAACGAGCGCAACCCUUACUGUUAGUUGCUACGCAAGAGCACUCUAGCAGGACUGCCGUUGACAAAACGGAGGAAGGUGGGGAUGACGUCAAAUCAUCAUGCCCCUUAUGACCUGGGCCUCACACGUACUACAAUGGCUGUCAACAGAGGGAAGCAAAGCCGCGAGGUGGAGCAAACCCCUAAAAGCAGUCUUAGUUCGGAUUGUAGGCUGCAACCCGCCUACAUGAAGUCGGAAUUGCUAGUAAUCGCAGAUCAGCAUGCUGCGGUGAAUACGUUCCCGGGCCUUGUACACACCGCCCGUCACACCACGAGAGUUUGUAACACCCGAAGUCGGUGAGGUAACCUUUUGGAGCCAGCCGCCUAAGGUGGGAUAGAUGAUUGGGGUG